rnacentral:rRNA from 1 species
AGAAUCAACGCUGGCGGCGUGCCUAACACAUGCAAGUCGAACGAGAAAGUGGAGCAAUCCAUGAGUAAAGUGGCGACCGGGUGAGUAACACGUGACCAAUCUACCCUUGAGUGGGGGAUAACCUCGGGAAACCGGGGCUAAUACCGCAUAACAUCCUCGGGACGGAAGUACUGGGGAUCAAAGGAGCAAUUCGCUUAAGGAGGAGGUCGCGGCUGAUUAGCUAGUUGGCGGGGUAAUGGCCCACCAAGGCAAAGAUCGGUAGCCGGCCUGAGAGGGCGCACGGCCACACUGGAACUGAAACACGGUCCAGACUCCUACGGGAGGCAGCAGUGGGGAAUUUUGCGCAAUGGGGGAAACCCUGACGCAGCAACGCCGCGUGGAGGAUGAAGUCCCUUGGGACGUAAACUCCUUUCGACCCGGACGAUAAUGACGGUACGGGUGGAAGAAGCCCCGGCUAACUUCGCGCCAGCAGCCGC